rnacentral:lncRNA from 1 species
AGUAAAAUAUCAAUGUUAAUACUUUGACAAUGAUGAAUAUUUACAAAAGAAAUGUUUCCUUAGUUCUUUGAUUAGGACAUAAUCAAAUGGCUUGCAAUUCUGUCUCCAAAUUCAAUACCAAACUAUGUCCAUUUGGAAACUAUAUUUCAUGAACAAUUAUUUAGAAGGAAAACUAAUGUCAACAUCAUAGAUCUGGCCAUUAGAAGGAGGAACAACUAGUCCAUUGAUGACUAUAUUAACAGAAAUUGCCAAAUGAAUUCCAGAUGUUUAACCAUGACCCCAAAUACGGAAUGGUUUCAAUGACCGCAACGAGAUUGAACCAUGAUGUUCUGAAGAAAUGAUUAGCCAAAAAUUAAGAGAUAUGCUUAUGUCAAUUGUUAGUGCCAAGAAAAUUGAGAAAGAAAUGUAAUAAAAUAAAGAUUUAUUUCCUCGAUAAAGAUAAGGGUCCAUACUUGGCUCUAAUAGAUCAAGAGGAAAUGACAUAUGAUGAUUUGAAUGACGUUAGUUAUGAGAGUGCAUAUACGAAUGAGUUAAAACCUUACCUGCCUUAUAAUUGUUUGAAUUUAAAUCCUCCAACUUAAAAUAUAUGUCAAAUACUAAUAGGAAAACAUAUGGUUUCAAUAUAAAUAAAGAUGGACAAAUAUUCAUAGAUCUUUCAAAAGAAUAAUGGAUAUUACUUAGUGAAGUCCAUGAAAUUACUCCUCAAGAAUAAAUUCUAGGAAGGAGAUAUUGUAGAGUUCCUAACACUUAUGGCAUUAUACUAAUUCUUGCAUACGUUUUAGGGAUACCAUACAAAAAGAAAUGCUUCAAACUAAUUCUCCAAGGUAGAUAAUGCAAGCCAAUUAUUUAGAGGAACCGGCUUAAAUCCUCCGUUAUACGAAUACUGAAGUUGGAAAGAAAAAUGUAUCGACCAAAACUCAAAUCAAAAGGCUUAAAGGGCUCAAAAUGAAACAUACAACUUUCAUAACAUUCAACAGUAACAAUCCUUAUUUUUCAUUCUCUCUCUUUCUCUCCUCAUUAAAAAUGUCUCGCGCACUAACAAAUUGGUAUCUAAAGUUCCGAUUAGUUUCUUGAACAUGUUUUCAAGAAUCACACGUCGGUGACCGUGUUUCCGAGAUCGUGGAUUGUUAAUCUUGUUUGCUACAAAGAUGAAUGGACAAUGUCAUUCUGAAUUCUGUUUCAAUUCUUGACGGUAAGAAUUGGUUCCGAUGGAGAAAACAAAUGCAAUCUCUACUUGCGUUUCAUGAAACUCUAGAAGUGGUUACUAAUGACGUCCUUGAGCUUGUUGAGAAUGCAACUGAUGCUCAAAGAGUCGCAAACAAGAAGGCCAAGAAAAAAGACUGCAAGACUGCGUUUCAUAUUCAAUAGGCGGUAGACGCGAUGAACUUUGAUCGGAUUCUCAUGCUGAAUCGGCGAAAGAGACAUGGGAUAUUCUUGUCAAGUAUUACAAAGAAGGUGAGAAGUUUAAAUUUGUCAAAUUGUGCAUGUUGUAAAGGCAGUAUGAAUUACUGCAGAUGGAAGAAGAAGAAAAGAUUGCAGGCUAUAUCUCGAAGGUGAAAAAGCUUGGCCAUCUCAUGAAAGGUUGUGGUGAAAUCCCAACUGAUAAGAUGAUAGUUGAGAAGGUAAUGCGUACAUUGACCUCUCGCUUUGAUCACGUUAUCAUUGUUAUUCAAGAAUCCAUAAAUCUUGAAACAUUGAAAUGAAAGACUUGGUUGGUUCGUUGGAGACACAUGAGAUGAGGAUUGUCGAAAGAAAAGGUGUUCAAGAUUCGAUACAAGCUCUACAGGCUUAGAUAUGGAAGAAACAUGGUGGUUCCUACAAGUUCAAGUGAAAAGAAGACAAGACUCAGAACAAGAAGUCUUGGUCGAACCGUCAAAAGAAUAAGGUCAAAGAUAGGGCUUCUAAAUCCUCAAAAAGAGGAGAAUGGAACUCCUAUCAGAAAGACAAAGAAGAGAAAAAAGGUGUACAUUGAUAUAACUGUGAAAAAUGGGGUCACUAGGCCAAGAAUUAUUGGUACAAGAAAGGCAAUAAUGAAUAAGUAAACCUUACACACUAAGAUUCAGAUGAUUCUGAAGACAUGGUAGUUAUAGUUGCAGUUGCAGAUGAGCAUGUCGGCACCAAGAUCUGGUUUCUUGACACAGGUUGUUCGAAUCACAUGACUCAUAAAAAAUUAUCAUUAGCAGAUUUCGACGAGUUGAAGAAGAGAAAUGUCAAACUUGUUGAUAAUAACUCGUUACAAGCAGAAGGAAUUGAUUACAUAGUUAUUCAAAGGAGCAAUGGAGAAAAAGCUAUGAUCAAAGAUGUACUCUAUGUACCUGAAAUAAAGUGUAAUCUGCUAACUAUAGGACAACUAGUCGAAAAGGUUUCUCUUGCAUACUAGAAGUAGUACAUUCAAAUGUAUGUGGACCAUUUAAGGAUCAUACCAUUGGUGAAAACAUGUAUUUUGUCACAUUUGUCAAUGAGUACAAUCGAAAUCGUUGGAUCUAUGUGAUCAGGUGAAAACAUUAAGUAUUUUCAAUCUUUAAGAGAUUCAGAAGGCAUGUUGAAAACUAGAGUGAAAGGAACAUCAAGGUUCUGUGAACAUAUGAAGGUGGAAAAUACAAUCCAAUAUGUUUAAAGAGUUAUGUGCAGAACAUGGUAUCAAUCAUGAGGUAAUUGCUCUUUACACGCCUCAACAUAAUGGAAUAGCAGAAAAAAGAAACAAUACCAUAUUGGAUAUAGCGAGAUGAAUGUUAAAGUAGAAUUUUUUUUCCCAAAUCCUCAUUGGGUGAAGCUGUCACCCAUGUUGUUUAUAUUUUGAACAGGUGUCAUACCAAGAAGCCGAAGAACACAGUUUCUGAAGAAGUGUGGAGUGGAAAACGACCAUCAGUGAUUCAUCUGAAGGUGUUUGGCUCUAUUUGCUAUAAGCAUGUUCCCGACGCAAGAAGAAGGAAGCUUGAUGAUAAAAUUGAACCUAUAAUUCUGGUAGAAUAUCACAAAACUAGAGCAUAUAGAUUAUUCAAUCCAAUCAAUGAGAAAAUCGUAAUGAGUUGAGAUAUCGUGAUUGAUGAAAAGUCUUCAUGGGAUUGGAAUUAUGGUGAUGUAAUUAACAAGCCAUUGAUGAGUUAUGGCGUUGAUGAAGAAACUGAUGAAGUUGAAGUCAAAGCAGUUGUUGAUACUCCAACAACAAUCAAAUUCGAAGAUGAUAAUAGAUUCGAAGUCGAAAUAGAUAAUCAAGAGGUUGUGGCUAGCUCAAGCCAAAGACCUCAAAGAACUAGAGUCCUCCCAGCAAGGCUUCAAGACUGUGAAGUGGUUGGUGAUGAUGAAGUCACACCAAACAGAGAUUUGGUUCAUUUCUCUUUACUUGCAGGUGUUGAACCAAUCAACUAUAGCGAGCCUUUAAAGAGUAAACAAUGGAAGUCAUGUAUGGUCAAAUAGUUACAAGCGAUCGAAAGAAACAACACAUAGGAGUUAGUCUAAUGUCCAACAUAUACACAAGCUAUCAAAUUGAAAUGGGUGUUCAAGUUGAAGCAUAAUGCUGAUGAGUCGAUAGCAAGACAUAAAGAAAGAUUAAUAGCUUGAGGAUUUAUUCAGAGAGAAGGACUCGGCUACUCUAAAGUAUUUGUACAAGUAGCAAGAUUGGAGACUGUUCGAUUGGUGAUAACCUUGGCAUGUAAGCAAGGUUGGUCGACAUUUCACUUAGAUAUGAAAUUAACAUUUUUGAAUGGUCCACUAGAUAAAGAGGUAUAUGUCACAAAACCUUCUUCUUUUAUGAUACAGGAGGAAGCAAGGAAAGUAUGCAGGCUACACAAAGUGCUUUAUGGCCUCAAGCAUACACCUGGGGCAUGAAACAAGAAGAUCGACUCAUACUUGGUCGAAUUGGGAUUCAUCAAAUGCAAAUCUGAGUAUGAUGUCUAUGUUCAGGUUGUGGCACAAGAUAUAACAAUCAUCUGCUUAUAUGUUGAUGACUUAUUAGUAACUAGAAAUAGCUUGGAGAACUUGUCGAAGUUCAAAGAGCUGAUGAAUAAGUAAUUUGAAAUGUCUAAUCUUGGAAAGUUAUCGUUUUCAAAUUUCGAAGCAGGGUAUGGUGCUACAUCAAAGAAACUAUGUCAAAGAGAUUCAGGAUGGAAGACUUGAAUCCUGCAUCCUCACCUGUCGAACCAAAUCUGAAGCUGGAGAAGCAUGGAGAGGAAGACAAAGCCGGUGUCACUUUGUUUAAAAACUUGUCGGAUCUCUGAGAUAUGUUGUAACAAUCGAAUUGAUUUAGGUUUCUCAGUCGGAUUAUUGAGCAGAUACAUGAGUGAACCAAGGGUGUCACACAUGAAGGCUACAAGAAGAAUCCUGAGAUACUUAAAAGGAUCGACAAAUUAUGGAAUUAUAUUUUCACGAGAUUCUAAAAGCAAAGAAGUUGAGAUUAUUUGUUAUUCAGAUGCUGAUUGGUAUUGAGACAAGGAAGAUCGAAGAAACAUAACUAUUUAUUUCUUUCAAGUAUUUGGUGCCCUGAUCUCAUGGUGCUCGAGAAAGUAACAUGUGGUGGAAUUAUCAUCAGAAUAUAUAGAGGAUCUUAUGUUGCUUGCCAAGUAAUUUGGAUCUGAUAUGUGCUAGAAGAGAUGAAGGUCAACGUGAAGAAGUCUCUGGUGUUGUAGAUCAACAACAAGUCAACCCCAACCUUGCAAAGAAUCUAGUUCUUCAUGGUAGAAGUAAGCACAUUGAGGCUAUGUUUCAUUUUCUAAGGGAAAAGGUAAACAAAGUUUAACUUGAAGUGAGGCAUUCCUCGAGUGAAGCACAGUUGACCGAUAUUUUCACCAAAGGACUGAAGAUUGAUAGAUUUUCUACCUUUGAGAAAGAAAUUAGAAAUAGUUCAGAUCGACUAUGAUUAGUUUGUGAUCGACAACUUGGAUUAUAAGGGAAUAUGUUGUGAUAUAAUCCAAGUUGUAGCUCAAACCCAAAAUAAUUAGAACUAGGGUUUGUCAUGAUAUUUACUUAAUAUACAAGUAACAUAAUUAUAUAUAUAUAUAAUAUUCAGUUUAACAUACAAUUUUCAUAAUAUUCAAUCAUAACCAUCAUUAUUUUUCAUUCUCUCUCUUUUUCUCCUCACUAAAAAUUCAUCAUGCCCUAACAUGAAUAUUUAAGAUAUAACCAAUUUUAAUUUUUUAUUGCUCAAAACAUUCCAAAUUUUACAUUUAUAUGCCCUAUUUCACUUAUUGAUGGCGUUGUUGUUAAAUCCAUGUAAAAGAAAGAUCACCUAACACACUUAAGAACUUCUUUCGAAAAAAACUAGGAAAUAUAAUUUUAAAAUGAUCUGAUUAAGUGUGCUUUAGGUGUAUCUCUAUGAAAAUUAUCGGGAUUUCUAACCCAAGAAAAAUGAGUAUAGACGGAUAAAAAAAAUUUAAAAUUCAUCUUAGAAACCCCUCCUCCCAAGAACAAUAGGCAAUUACAAUCAUUUCUAGGAAAAUUUGAUUACCUUCAAAGAUUAAUUUUAAACACUUCUAGAGCUGCAAAAGUAGUCACUCAUUUAUUGAAGUUAAAGAAAGAG